UUAAAUAGCCUUAAAUAAGGCGUCGCAGGGCCAGGAAGCGGGUGCAAGACCCGCGCGGCCCCGCCACUGUGACCCGGACGAAUCCGCAGGCAAGGCCCACUGAAGGGGAAACCCCUUCGGGAAGGGCGCGGACGAGGAGGAGGGGAAGUCAGGAUAUUGACCCUGCGCGAGGACCGAUG
rnacentral:ncRNA from 2 species